rnacentral:rRNA from 1 species
UACGGAAGGGGCGAGCGUUGUUCGGAAUCAUUGGGCGUAAAGGGCGCGUAGGUGGUUCUGUAUGUCUACCGUGAAAGCGUACGGCUCAACCGUAUUUUUGUCGGUAGAAACUGCAGGACUUGAGGCUGGGAGGGGCUGGUGGAAUUCCCUGUGUAGCGGUGAAAUGCGUAGAGAUGGGGGGAGAACACUCGUGGCGAAGGCGGCCAGCUAGACCAGUUCUGACACUGAGGCGCGACAGCGUGGGGGAGCAAACAGG